rnacentral:rRNA from 1 species
GCGACCUCAGGCGGGGCGGG